rnacentral:rRNA from 1 species
AGCGAACGCUGGCGGCAGGCCUAACACAUGCAAGUCGAGCGGCCGUAGCAAUACGGCAGCGGCAGACGGGAGAGUAACACGUGGGAACGCGCCCUUCGGUUCGGAAUAACUCAGGGAAACUUGGGCUAAUACCGGAUACGCCCUUACGGGGAAAGAUUUAUUGCCGAAGGAACGGCCCGCGUCCGAUUAGCUUGUUGGUGAGGUAACGGCUCACCAAGGCGACGAUCGGUAGCUGGUCGGAGAGGAUGACCAGCCUCACUCGGGACUGAGACACGGCCCAUACUCCUACGGGAGGCAGCAGUGGGGAAUAUUGGACAAUGGGCGCAAGCCUGAUCCAGCCAUGCCGCGUGGGUGAUGAAGGCCCUAGGGUUGUAAAGCCCUUUCGGCGGGGAAGAUAAUGACGGUACCCGCAGAAGAAGCCCCGGCUAACUUCGUGCCAGCCGCCGCCGUAA